ensembl:ncRNA lncRNA:CR44925 long non-coding RNA:CR44925
CUAUUCAACACUUUUGUAUCCGAAAGGUAUACAUUUCGUAUUUUCAUAUAGUACAGUGGGGAGGGGGCUAACAGCAAGCUGCAAGUAAAUUGCUUUUAAAUUUAUGAACAACACUUGCAAUUAAGAAGGCCCGCUCUGAUGAUUCGACUUCUUUAAAAGGCCACCAUGAAUCUGCUCUUCUCCUCCGCGGGCAGCUGUCUUCAAAUGUUCCACUAGAAGUAUUUUCACACAGCAAUUUUCAGACUAGCACAAGUGCCGGGCGGCAGGAGCUGGAGCAGCAGCAGCCGCAUCAGGAGAUGAAAAAACGAAAACAAAAUAUUAUGUAAUUUUACAUUCAAGUGAGCGGAAAAUAUAAAUAAGCAGCAGGUGCUCAUUUCCUGUUCCGCAGCAAACAUGGUACAGUCAGCAUACAAGCACUCGCACACCAGCUGCCCGCCAUGUCCUGGCCCAAAGGACAUGGUCGUGCAGCGGGGAGGGGCGACGCAUGCACGUGAACUAUGGCCAAAACACUCGGACACUGAGCAGAAACUCGUCACUUGGAUCAUUUUGCUUGGCAUUCCAGAUUUGAGCCUUCUACUCUAGAAUGCAUGAAGUGUGUAACUCGUU